AGAGAAGUCAACAAGUCAUGGUACGAAAAUUGGUUUAAUGUUUCCCCUUGAUUAACCACCUUACUUUCUAUUUUAACAGGUCCUAUAAUAAUGUUAAUGUUAGGACUAACCUUUGGACCAUGUAUUAUUAAAUAUCUGUUGAAAACAAUUCAAGAUCGC